UGGAUUUUAUAUUAUGUUUAGCAAGGCCAAAGAAAGACCUGCCACCCAAACUUUUCAAUGUCACAACAACAAUCUGAGAUUGUAAUUUGUUGUUUUACCAAAACCAAGAAAAUAUGGAACUCAAAUCUAAAAAUUAUGCACUUCUAAAGUUGAUUAUGAAAUACACACAUACAUAGAUACACAAACACACACUAACCAUUGUUGGAUAACAGCACCACUAAUUCCUCGUCAAAAACCUUAGCAUCACUGCAUGUUCCAGCUGAGCCAGCGAUUCUUGUAGCUAGUUGAUGCUGACACUGAAAAUAGGAAAAAAGUAUUAAUCAAAUAUUCCCAUCUUUACCUCAUUAAAUUCGAGAAUCGAAUAAUAGAAUAAUGAUGGAUAAAUAGAAGUAAACUCACACAAAUCAAAUAUUCCCCUUCUGUAAAAAAUGUUAUGAUGAGCACAAUAAUGUUCUGGAGAGCACAAAUUAUUAAGGAUAAAUAUGAGCACAAUAAUAUUUUGAUAAAUUAAAAAAAAAAUUAUGAACAAAAUAACCAUUUCAUAUGCCCUAUUUUAUCUUAUCAAUUUGUCAAACCUAAUUCUAGUAUUCAAAUUUAAUAAUUCAAUACCACCUCAAUUUUUUUCCAAAAUCUGGAGAAAGAGACUAACCAAAGUUAGAUAGCAGUGGGAGAUUGACGAUUUCAACACGGAGAUGACGAUUUCAGCAGCGGUGACGUCGUAAGAAUCGGUGACGGUGGCGGUGGCAAUAUCUAAUUGAGGGCCACAGAUCCAGUUGCUGCAAAUUUGCAGCCGUCGUAGCGGGAUGUGGCAACAGCAAUCAGAACAAAAGCACGGUAUUGUCACGCUGAGACGGCGGUGGUGGUGGCGGUGACGGUGGCGGUGGCG
rnacentral:lncRNA from 1 species